UCCUUCUUAUCGAAGGCAGUUUCUCAAGAGUGCAUCCCUUGCGGGAUUAGCAACAUGAGAUAGGGGUUGCGCUCGUUGCGGGACUUAACCCAACAUCUCACGACACGAGCUGACGACAACCAUGCAGCACCUCUGCUCGCUCCCUUGCGGGUCGGCCACUGUCUCCAGCGACUUACCACGAGUAGUUCAAGCCCAGGUAAGGUUCUUCGCGUUGCGUCGAAUUAAACCACAUGCUCCACCGCUUGUGCGGGCCCCCGUCAAUUCCUUUGAGCUUCAGUCUUGCGACCGUACUCCCCAGGCGGAAUGCUUAAAGCGUUAGCGACGGCACCCGGGGACUUUAUAACCCCAGACACCAAGCAUUCAUCGUUUAAGGCUAGGACUAC
rnacentral:misc_RNA from 1 species